rnacentral:tRNA from 1 species
GACCCGAUAGUCCAGUGGUUGGACCGCUUGAAUAAAUUCAUCCUAUCGAGUGUUCAAUGGGUGCUCGGGUUCGACUCCCGGUUGGGUCA